CCAAGAAACCAUAGAAACAUAGUUUGCCUAGUGAUCUGUACUGUUUAACUCUCCUGUAGGGGCAAAUCAUGUCUGAUACCAUUCAUUGGGUGAUAUUUAAGAACAAUAUGGAUCUUCCCAUAGUAAUGAUUUUCUUUUGGAGUUGCAAGUCCUGGCUGUCAAUAAAGGGGCUUUUGAGAUUAAUCCUGUAUGCAGUUCCUUAAGGAGAUAGCAGACAUUUUUUUUUUCAUUCCUGAGAUCAUUAGAGCAGCACAUGGACUACUUAAUGUAAUUCCAGUCAAUAACACCCAUUAGUAAACCACUCUUCCCACCUUCAGUUGGCUUUGUGUUUGAUUCUAGUAUUUACACUGGGUUUAUAACCCUAGAGUUUAAAUAUCCCACUCCUAAAAAUGCAUAUGCCAUCCAUAAAGUUGUUCCAAUGGAUAUGGAAUACAGCAGCUUGCAUCCUGAGUAAUACUUACAAGAAAGAACUUUCUAGUUUCUUGAUUUCCUGUUCGCUAUCCCUUUUUCCUGCUAGGUCUCAAAUCCAGUUCAGGGCUGUAGAGUUCACAGUACUCUGAGUUCUUGAAUGAACAGUUGCAUUCUGGUUUAGUAACUCAAUUUUUUUUUGCAGUUAGUUCCAAGAAAUGUGGAGCUGCCCACUUCAAGGAUAAGACUGGAUGGCUAGAUGGAAUGUUUGUUCAAGGAAAUGGAUUUUAUUUCUGUAUCGUAUUACUGGAAGCAUAGUCAGCUGAAGACUGAGAUUUGCUGUUGUGCAGCCUGAAACUAAGGAUUCAUGCAGAAAAUCAAGGUAAGGGUCUGUGGUUUUGAUGCACUGUACACUUGUGGUGCAAGUUCAAUAUUACAGCAUCCUCUAUGUGCAGAGAGUGUUGACAGCUCCUAGCCACGUGAUUAAUACUGAAGAACAAAUGACAAAGAAUCAGCAGAAGAGUGAUUGCUUCAUAUUUCUCUUGAAGUGCAGCAGAACUUAAGAAAAUGCUUUGCCUGUGUCUGAGCUAAGAUGGAUUAAGGCAAACUGAACAUGAGUGAGCAGAGAAAGCCAACAUGACAAAAUUUCCAGGUGGAACAAUAAAGGGACUAUCUGAAGACAACUGGUUGCACAUCUCUAAUCUCCUGCUUAUUUCAUAUUCUUGGAGUGAGUAAAGGGUCAGUGUAUGUAUUCCCCCUGAUAACUUGAAAAUAACAUGGUUCCUGGGACAUAAACAGUUCAAUUGAGUACUGCUCCAGGCACUACCAUAUGAUCUGUUCCAGAGCUUCCAGUUGUUCAUGAAUUUUGCUGAAUUUUGAUAUGGAGCUUGGAUGAAGGCCUGUGCAUCCAUUACACAGUCUUUGAUGUUCUUUAUCAAUGAAUCCUUCUGAGUGUUUUUAGACAAAUUUUGACUUGGUUGGUGGAUCAUCUAGAGUAACUUCUUCAGUGAAAGGAGCUCUAAAGCAAUGAAGAAAUGCAACAGUCAUGCAGUUAUUCUUUGUGGUUUGUUUUUAUUUCACCUAAACUUGCUACCAUGCUUCAAACUUUGCUUCAGAACGUAACAAGUAGCCCUCUUUCUUUGUUUUAUUUAUAUAAAAUAGUGAGUUAAAAGACAGUAAAUAUCUGGCAAGGAAAAAGAACUAGGAAAGGGAAAAUAGGUGAUUACUCCUCUUUUUUGAUUAUAACUCAUCAGAAGAUAAAGCAAGCCAUAAAAACUAGGAAAUAAGAGUAAUAUGGAUGAUAUAAUUUUGUUAGGCCAAUCUCUCUCUCUGUGAGCUGAUCAGGAAACACUUCAGGAGCACUGUCCAGAAACUUCCAUGAAUGACAAUAAAAAAGAAUCUGAAAGAUCAUCUGUGCAGAUCAGGGGAAUUUUUUUAGUAACUAUUUGCCACAUUGCACCUCCUGCAGUGACAGUAUGGUGCAAAAAAAAGUCAUAUACCGGUGUCUGAUGUAAGAAUAUUUCCAAAUAGCCUAUGAACCACUUACAAGAUAAGCUUGUGGGACACUGUGGAAUACCUUUAAUGGAACCAUGAUGAGGGAAGGGAUUUAAAGGAAAUUUCAAAGUGAUUUAUGCCUAAUGAGUCUUGAUGAGAAUGAAGUUUUUAUAAAUGAAGCAAAAGGCUUGUGGGAUGAUAAAGCAUGACAACUGGUAACGGAAAUUUAAAAAUUUCAUACCAAACACAGUAUAUAGUUGUACGAUAGAUUAUGUAUAUAUUGUUUCCUUCAUCUUUAAAAGAAAGAGGAUAGGAGACAUGCAUUUUAGAGGGAAAUGUUGACUUAGUGUUGCUUUGAAGUUUCUUACUUUCAAAUGUUAAUCUUAACUUUGACCUUCCUAUCACUCAAUAUGUUUUGCUUAUUAUGUUUUGUUCAGAUUCCUAUGGGCUUUUUAUGGUACUCAGUUGUUUUACUAAAAAUGCUAGCUUCCCACACUACCCUCCCCUACAAUUUAGGUUAAGAUAGGAUUGUGUUUCUGUCAUGGUUUAACCCCAGCCAGCAACAAAGCACCACAAUUUUGCAUUAAAGAUUCCAUUAGGUGAUUACAUUUUCCAAAAUCCCAGAAGUCAAAUUUGCUUCCACCACCAGUCAGCUAAGGAAAUAUGAAUAACUACGGAUCCAAAAUCCAAAGGGGAAGUGACUGGUUAGAAAACAAGACUUACCUUAGACUCUGUUAAUAUUUAGCAAAGCAAGAUGUCACGUAGCUGUGUGGAAGUUUUCAAGCGAACAACCUGAGUCAAUAUUAAAGAUCUUAACUGAAGUCUAUUUUAAACAGUCUCUAUUGUUCAGUCAGCUGCUUUACAGAAAAAUUACCAAUUUCUAGUCCUAAUUAUGCCCAAGUACUGACAACACUGCUGCCUGUGAGAUAAAAGUGUCUUGUUAUUAGAAGAUCUAUCCACUGUAAAUGAUUUAAUUUUCUGCUCCUGAAAUCAUCUUAAAUUAUGUUGUUCGUAAGAAAGUGACUGCAGACAGAGGGUUAUUAUUUCGACAAGCCUCUAUGAAUGAAAAUUCAAUGGCCAGACUCUCAUUUGUCUGCCUAAAAAUGCCGUUAUAUUUUAGGUUCACUUCAUUUUGGAAAGUUUGAUGGUAACAAAGGAAGACAGUCUUCACUGGAGCUUGUCUUUUGUGGGGAGGUCCAACUUCCAUCUCCCUCAUCUAGCCUAACAGAGAAAAAUGUUAAAUCCUGCUGAACAAUGACAAUAUUGGGCUUCCUUGCAGAGACACUUUAAAUAGGGUGUUCACAAAUUUUUAAUGGAAGUGCCUUAUGUCUGACCGAUGUUCAACUGCUUUUCAAGCUGCUGGCAGGCCCUUCACCAACAUAUAUCUGCUUUUGGCUCCUAUGUGUUCCUUUUCUGUUGUGGCAAGGAAACAUUUAGGAAAGGCUUAGCUUGUGGUUGGUUCUGCAGUGCUGAGUGCAGAACUCAGCUUUGCAGAAAAGGACAUCUCUGGAAGCAGAGGAGGUGCUUUCAAAAAGAGUUUGCUAGGUUGUGUGUGGAGAAGCAGUAGCGAACGUUUCUCCACUGGUGAAAAACAUG